AUUGAACGCUGGCGGCAGGCCUAACACAUGCAAGUCGAACGCGUGGCGGACGGGUGAGUAUUGUCUGGGAAACUGCCCGAUGGAGGGGGAUAACUCCUGGAAACGGUAUCUAAUAUCGCAUACCAUCGGAUGUGCCCCGAGGGGAGUAGCUUGUAGGUGGGGUAAUGGCUCACCUAGGCGACGAUCCCUAGCUGGUCUGAGAGGAUGACCAGCCACACUGGAACUGAGACACGGUCCAGACUCCUACGGGAGGCAGAAGUGGGGAAUAUUGCACAAUGGGCGCAAGCCUGAUGCAGCCAUGCCGCGUGUAUGAAGAAGGCCUUCGGGUUGUAAAGUACUUUCAGCGGGGAGGCGUUACCCGCAGAAGAAGCACCGGCUAACUCCGUGCCAGCCGCCGCGGUAAUAC
rnacentral:rRNA from 1 species